GCCUUCGUAGUGUAAUGGCCAUCACAUGCGGCGCGUAUUUUAGAGGUCCGAGGUUCGAGUCCCGGCGAAGGCA
rnacentral:tRNA from 1 species